rnacentral:rRNA from 1 species
CCUACGGGGCGCAGCAGUGAGGAAUAUUGGUCAAUGGGCUUACGCCUGAACCAGCCAAGUCGCGUGAGGGAAGACUGCCCUAUGGGUUGUAAACCUCUUUUGUCGGAGAACAAAACCCGGGACGUGUCCCGGACUGCGUGUAUCCGAAGAAAAAGCAUCGGCUAACUCCGUGCCAGCAGCCGCGGUAAUACGUAGGGGGCAAGCGUUAUCCGGAAUCACUGGGUGUAAAGGGAGCGUAGACGGCUGUGCAAGCCUGAAGUGAAAGGCGGGGGCCCAACCCCUGGACUGCUUUGGGAACUGUACGG